ensembl:snRNA U2 U2 spliceosomal RNA
AUCGCUUCUCGGCCUUUUGGCUAAGAUCAAGUGUAGUAUCUGUUCUUAUCAGUUUAAUAUCUGAUACGUCCCCUACCCGGGGACCAUAUAUUAAAUUGAUUUUUGGAAUAGGGAGAUGGAAUAGGGGCUUGCUCCGUCCACUCCACGCAUCGACCUGGUAUUGCAGUACCUCCAGGAACGGUGCACCCCCC